UACGAAGGGGGCUAGCGUUGCUCGGAAUCACUGGGCGUAAAGGGUGCGUAGGCGGGUCUUUUAAGUCAGGGGUGAAAUCCUGGGAGCUCAACUCCAGAACUGCCUUUGAUACUGAGGAUCUUGAGUUCGGGAGAGGUGAGUGGAACUGCGAGUGUAGAGGUGAAAUUCGUAGAUAUUCGCAAGAACACCAGUGGCGAAGGCGGCUCACUGGCCCGAUACUGACGCUGAGGCACGAAAAGCGUGGGGGAGCAAACAGG
rnacentral:rRNA from 1 species